rnacentral:rRNA from 1 species
UACGUAGGGGGCGAGCGUUGUCCGGAAUCAUUGGGCGUAAAGAGCGUGUAGGUGGCUUGGAAAGUCUUACGUGAAAGCCUGCGGCUCAACCGCAGAAGUGCGUAGGAAACUUCCUCGCUAGAGUCCGGAAGAGGAGAGCGGAAUUCCUGGUGUAGCGGUGGAAUGCGCAGAUAUCAGGAGGAACACCCGUGGCGAAGGCGGCUCUCUGGGACGGUACUGACACUGAGACGCGAAAAGCGUGGGGAGCGAACAGG